GGCCUGGUGGAAUGGUAAACGCCACCCCCGGCUCUACCAGGGGCUUGAGGUGGUCUCCCACAGCUCUGCUGGUGGAAUGGUAAAUCACUCCAAGCUGCAUUAGGUUCAGAUCUACCAGGAUGGGCCUUUGACAGAGUCUGGAUGCAGUCAGGACACCAAAUAUGCAUAAGCAAUGUAAAGAGAUGGGGAAAGUACAUUUGAAUCAAAUUACCUUCAUAAAUCAAAUGUGUGUCACAUACACUUUAUUUUUGAGCAGAUGUUAUUGCGGGUAUAGUGAAAUGCUUGUGUUCCUAGCUCCAACAGUGCAGUAAUAUCUAACUAAAUGCUUGUGUUCCUAGCUCCAACAGUGCAGUAGUAUCUAACUAAAUGCUUGUGUUCCUAGCUCCAACAGUGCAGUAGUAUCUAACUAAAUGCUUGUGUUCCUAGUUCCAACAGUGCAGUAGGGUCUAACUAAAUGCUUGUGUUCCUAGUUCCAACAGUGCAGUAGUAUCAAACUAAAUGCUUGUGUUCCUAGCUCCAACAGUGCAGUAAUAUUCAACUAAUUGCUUGUGUUCCUAGCUCCAACAGUGCAGUAAUAUUUAACUAAAUGCUUGUGUUCCUAGCUCCAACAGUGCAGUAAUAUAUAACUAAAUGCUUGUGUUCCUAGCUCCAACAGUGCAGUAGUAUGUAACUAAAUGCUUGUGUUCCUAGCUCCAACAGUGCAGUAAUAUCUAACUAAAUGCUUGUGUUCCUAGCUCCAACAGUGCAGUAAUAUCUAACUAAAUGCUUGUGUUCCUAGCUCCAACAGUGCAGUAAUAUCUAACUAAAUGCUUGUGUUCCUAGCUCCAACAGAGCAGUAAUAUCUAACUAAAUGCUUGUGUUCCUAGCUCCAACAGUACAGUAAUAUCUAACAAAAUGCUUGUGUUCCUAGCGCCAACAGUGCAGUAAUAUCUAACAAAAUGCUUGUGUUCCUAGCUCCAACAGUGCAGUAAUAUCUAACUAAAUGCUUGUGUUCCUAGCUCCAACAGUGCAGUAAUAUCUAACUAAAUGCUUGUGUUCCUAGCUCCAACAAUGCAGUAAUAUCUAACUAAAUGCUUGUGUUCCUAGCUCCAACAAUUCCUGUAAUAUCGAACUAAAUGCUUGUGUUCCUAGCUCCAACAGUGAUGUAAUAUCGAACUAAAUGCUUGUGUUCCUAACUCAAACAGUGCGGUAAUAUCUAACAAUUUCACAACAAAUACCUAAUACACACAAAUCUAAGUAAUGGAAUAAGAAUAUAUAAAUAUAUGGACGAGCGAUGUCAGAGUGGCAAAGACAGUAGAAUAGAAUAUAAUACAGUAUAUACAUAUGAGAUGAGUAAUGCAUAGACUAAGAUACAGUAGAAUAUGAUAGAAUACAGUAUAUACAUAUGAGAUGAGUAAUGCAUAGACUAAGAUACAGUAGAAUAUGAUAGAAUACAGUAUAUACAUAUGAGAUGAGUAAUGCAUAGACUAAGAUACAGUAGAAUAUGAUAGAAUACAGUAUAUACAUAUGAGAUGAGUAAUGCCAGAUAUGUAACAAUGAUUUCAAGUCUGUGUAUGUAGGCUGUGUUAGUGAUGGAAAAACCGCUUCUGUCUCUCGGUCCCAGCUUUGAUGCACCUGUACUGACCUCACCUUCUGGAUGAUAGCGGGCUGAACAGGCAGUGGCACGAAUGUAAAUAAACAUAGAUAAUGGAACAUAUUCCCUUUUGCUGACGUGAUGAACCGCUAUGGGGACAUAAAUAUUUACCAUCUGAACCAUGUGUGACCUCUCACCUCUCUGGCUGUAGAAGUGUUCUUCCUAACCAGUCCCUCAACAGCUCUCUGACUGAGCUCCACCCUCACUGGGUCUUCAGAGGAGAGGAAGGCUGAGGAGGGAUGGAAGGAUGAAUGGAUCAGUCAGUCAAUAAAGUGUAGAGCUGCUGUCUGACAAAAUCCCUAUUAUAGUAGUUCAUUAAAGUAAAUAUGGAUUUAUGACUGCUGAAUACCAACUAUCAAUCACUUAGAUCAUGUAUUUUCAGGUUGAGAUACAUCCUUGGGACGUCCCUAGCCCGUUGAAGUUGACUUUUAAAAUGGCUAAGGUUAGGGUUUAGGGUAGGGAUAGCAUUGACCAUUGUGCAUUAUUCUGUCUCUUUUACAUAGCAGGUGUAAAAGAAACACAGACAAGACAAGUAGGUAUGCAGUGCAUUAUGGUCAUUGGAGUUUAAGAAAUGGCAUCUAAUUAUUCCAAUCUGUGUGUGGGGUUGUUAGAGAAGAAUGUGAUUGUCAGCCCUACCAAUCCAGUCUAGCACCUCAUCAGGCUCUGAAAAAGUCUUCAUUGAUGACGUGUUCCUUCAAUUCCAGGGGACAGCAGAGGAACUUCAUCGAUUCCACUCCUUCAUCAAUACAAGCAGUGAACAUCUGAAAUUCACCCUCACCUUUGAUGUGCAUGAAACAAGUUAUCUGGACAUUUUGACUAAGUGGGAGGGGGGUGGUUUUAGCACAGACCUAUACAGGAAGUCGACGGACAGGAAUUCCCUGUUACGCGGAGACAGUUUCCACCCUACACCCCUAAAAAAACAAUUGUAAUACAUGAGUGAAGGAAACAUUUAAAAUGUAAAUUUGUAAUUUUAAUUUUGUAAAUUUAAAACAAAAACAUAACUGUUUGUACUUACAACUAAGUUACUAAGUCUUUAACCAGACUGUGUUACCCUGGUGAGUAAAAACUCAUGCUUCCUACCCUUUAACUUUUUGUCUGAAAAUAAAAUGUACAUUUUACUGAACUGCGUCCAGUCAGCAGACUAGAUGCCGCUUAGGCCGCCCGUUGUGACUCCGUCAAGAAUUCAGCAGAGCAAGUUUGUAUGAAGGUCUGGUUAUUAAAUAGGUACGUAGUUCAAUAGUAAUAUCCUUUAAAACGCUCUGGUGACAAACUUUACUGCCCUGUUUCCAGUUGUCCACAUGGCUGGGAGAACCUAUUCAAGCAUGUAAAUAGAUUUUGAAAAUGUAAAAAAAUAUAUAUAUUAUUAGCUUACUAGCUACAGGGCAGGCUAACUCUAAUGAGCUAGCUUGUUGGCUAGCUAGCUAUCUAACCAACUUCAAAUACUGUAUAGAUAGACAGCUAAGUGAAUUAAAUAUCACCAGCUACCUAACUUCAUAUUAGCUAGCUGUCUUGAUGUAUUUAUCACUGUGAAAAAAUCCAAAUGCAUUUGUAGGUAGCUAGCUAACAGCCAUGGAGGAGGGUGGAAGGAUAGCAGCCCCAACUGUCAGUGAGAGAGGAGGCUAUUCUGGAUAGGGCAGGUACUUUAGUGUAGUUCCUGUCCUUAGAAGUGAGGACGGAGAUAAUAGUAAUAUAAUAUUCAGUGUGGUGUAAUUUGACUAUAAUGAAGUGUGUUUCUUGUGAGGUUUUCAGUCCUCAGAUAAAGAGCGCUAUGAAAGCCAGUCAACAUAUGAAGAGGUCCCAAUGAAGAGCAGUGGUUCUCAGUCCUGGGGACUCAAAGAGGUGCACAUUGUUGUUUUUGCCUCAGCACUGCACAGCUGAUUCAAAUGAUCAACUCAUCAUCAAGCUUCAAGUGAUACCUUGUAACUGGAGAUUCCUUCAAAACGAUUGCCUACAGUUACCGUGUAGGGCACUGCAAGGUUGGGUGACUUGGGUCAUAUGGGACUGCCUCCUGGAGGAACUCAGAUGUGUGAAGGCUACCUGUGUCCUGCGUAACUUCAUGCGGAUGGACACGAGGACCAGGAGCGGAUCUACAGCUCGCCGCCGUGUCCCAGAGGAGGAGUCUGCUGCUCUACAGGAUGUUUCAAGGAUGGGGUCCAACAAGAGAGGCAAUCCGUGUGCAGAAGAUCUUCACCUCCUACUUCUUCAAAGAGGGGGCUGUUCCCUGGCAACACCAUAGACUACACUAUGCUCAACCAAAGGCUCUUUUAAGAGGGUGCUGUUCCCUGGCAACACCAUAGACUACACUAUGCUCAACCAAAGGCUCUUUUAAGAGCCAUCCACAUUGUAAUAUGAAUAUUCUUCCAUUUACUUAGCUAUGUCAACUGCAGUUAUUCAAUUCCUAGUUUCUCUCCCUUUGAUUUCUACUUCUCAGGUGAGUUUUUUUUUCUCAGGUUUUAGAAACUAGAGAGUGUUUUCUAUCCAAUAGUAAUAAUAAUAUGCAUAUUGUACGAGCAAGAAUUGAGUACGAAGCAGUUUAAUUUGGGAACGAUUUUUUACAAAGUCGAAAUGGCGCCCCCCUAUUGAGAAAAGGUUUUUAACUACCUUAUUUUCUCAAUAACAGUCUCUCUCCUUCACUUCACCCCGUCUCCCUAAAUCCUUUAGGUUAUAUCAGCUGUGUCGGUGAACCCCUCCUGCAUCUGAACUGGCUACAUAGAGGGCACAGCAUGAUCAGAGUUGAGAGGUCACUUGGUCAGGUCAACAGGAAGAAUUAUUAAAGAGAUGCUUUACAUUGAAAUACAGACAGAGAUGCAGUACUCCCAGAGUUGAUGAUCCCAGGUCAGUUUAUAUUAUACAGGAAGUAUUAUUAAAGAGAUGCUUAACAUUGAAAUACAGACAGAGAUGCAGUUGUCCCAGAGUUAAUGAUCCAAGGUCAGUUUUGCAUUUCACCUCCUGAUUGAUGACUAACAAUGUUAGAAUAAAAAAUAAAAACACAAGGCAUAAACAUGCUCUCUCUCUCUCCAUCUGUCUCUCAUCUGCAAAGAUGUUUUGAUGUGAUAGAGGAUGCCAACGCCCAGUCCCAUCAUCGCCACCUCACCCGCUUUUAAGAUAACAGUGUCUCUCGUCGGCCCAAAGGUUAUGUAAUUGUGAUAAACUGAGAGAAUAUUUAUGUAGCACUCUGAUUCAUUAAUCAUGUGCUGCCUUCCCUGCUCAUACGUGCUUACCUCUUUCCCUUUCUGUCUUUUACACCUCUCCCGCCAUCUCUUCUUUCUUCCUCUGUUUUUAUAAUUCACAACAGAUGUAUAUUGAAGUACAGAUUGAACUUGUAUUUAUAACACUUGGAUAAUGAGCUUUUCAAUGAAGCGUUUCACAUUCUCUACUGGUUGAAAUGAAGUGUAAUGUGAUGAAAUACUCCACCUAUCCCGUGUUUAUCAGAUCAAUGCAGAUGAAGGGCAUUAGAUGUUGAGAUGAACCGGUGUUAAGAGUAUUUACAUGAUGCAUAGGAAGUGUAGUGUUCUGUUUUUUAACAUUAUAGUUCUGUAUAUAUGAAUUAACUAGUUAAACCCGGUUUCUAGUCUAUUAGCUACAAUGUGUAACCAUUGAUGUCCCAGGACCAAGAUUGGUAAACACUGUUGAAGUGUAUAAUUGUAAUACAUACAUGCAGACACAGCGUCAUUUAAAGACUGGAAUUUGACACUCCUGGUAUUGGAUAUGACUGAAAAAUAAUCUCAAAGACAUUCAUACCUAAACUGCACAU